CCGUGAAAAACGCCCUUAUAAUCCCCACUAGGGAUAAGGAGCUGGUAUCAGGCACGAAAAUCUGCCCAAAACACCUAGUUUCGCCACACCCACAAGGGAAUUCAGCAGUAAUUAACAUUGAAUAUAAGCGCUAGCUUGAUUCAGUUAAAGUAAAUAGAGCCGGCAAAUCUGGUGCCAGCCGCCGCGGUUAUCCCAAGUGGCUCAAAUUGAUCACUAUCGGCGUAAAGCGUGAUUAAAGUUCUAAUUAUAUUGAAGUCGAACUAAAACUAAGCUGUAACACGCUUGUUUUCCAGAAGAGCAAAAACGAAAGUUACUUCAAUUUCAACAACUUGAAUACACGACAGUCAAAACACAAACUGGGAUUAGAUACCCCACUAUGCCUGACCGUAAACCUUAAAUUACACCUCAAUCGCCAGGGAACUACGAGCAAAGCUUAAAACCCAAAGGACUUGACGGUACCCCACAUCCACCUAGAGGAGCCUGUCCUAUAAUCGAUAAUCCACGUUUUACCUCACCACUUUUAGCUUCCCAGCCUGUAUACCUCCGUCGUCAGCUUACCGCGUGAGCGAAACUCAGUGAGCCUAAUGUCCACACGUCUAUACGUCAGGUCAAGGUGCAGUAAAUGAAGUGGCAAGAGAUGGGCUACACUUUCUAACCUAGAACAUACGAAAGAUCAUUUAUGAAAACUGAUCAGAAGGCGGAUUUAGUAGUAAAAGAAAAUCAGAAAAUUUCUUUAAAUUUGGCACUGGGGNUGUGUACACACCGCCCGUCACCCUCUUCAAAGCUAAAUAAAAGUAAUUAACCUCUCGAUGCCCCACAGAAGAGGCAAGUCGUAACAUGGUAAGUAUACCGGAAGGUGUGCUUGGAAA
rnacentral:rRNA from 1 species